rnacentral:snRNA from 1 species
GCGCUUGUUUCAGCGCCAUGUGUACUAAAACUAGGACAACAUGGAGAAGACAGCACGGCCCCUGCGCAAGGACGAUACACAAAUUCCUGAGGCACGCCAUAAUUUU